AGCAGUGGUCUAAUGGUAGGACGCUGGCUUAGGGAUCGAGAGGUCCUGGGUUCGAAUCCCUGACCGCUG
rnacentral:tRNA from 1 species